AUGAGUAGCUCGCGCUCUCGGGCGGCUGUGGUGGCCGAGGGUAAUGCCAAGACGGCAGCGAGGGAGUGGGUCGGGUGGGAGGAGGAGGUCGUGCUGGGGGACGACGACGGUGAGGAGCGCAAGGUGUGCUACUACCUCCUCUGCGCGGCUCCCCAGGACAGCGGUAAGAGCCAGAGGGAUCUGGCGUUGGUGGGUAAGUACUGGGGACCUGGGAACAUAGCCUACUCGGCGGACGUGCAGUUUCUGCUGUCCCUCGACACGGCGCUGGAGUCUGGGUCGGCAUCCGCUACGGUGGAGGCGCUGGCGUCGGAGAUCACCGAGCUCAGGUGGAAGUCCAGGAGGGAGAUCAUGGACUGGCUCACCUCGCUCGUCUCAGAUCCUCCGUAUGGAGCCUUUGGAUUGACUUGUCCCGACCAUCAUGAUGGUGGUAGCGCUGCAUCUAAGGGUAUCCUCGCUGCUUUUGGGGAAAACAAAGAAGGGUUCACAUGGAUAUGCAAACUACCCCAUCUUGAUCAACGUCGGAAGCAUUACAAAUCCUUUUGGCGAGGGAGACUGAGAAUUUCGGUUUAUGAUUUUGUGUUCAUCAAGAGUGAAGGGAGAGAGAGCCAUGUUGCCUAUGUGGAAGACAUGUACGAAGAUGCCAGCGAGAAGAAGAUGGUGGUGGCACGAUGGUUCGAGGAACAAGACGGUGAGCACGGUGCUGUAUUGCCCGCCGAUCUUUAUUGCAGGGAGAUCUUCUUUGGCUAUGUACUGCAAGAUCUGAGGGUUGAAGUUGUGGAGGCAGUGGCCCCGGUCCUGAAUCCAGAGCACUUUGAGAUGUUCAAGAAAAAAUAUGGAGGGCGCAGUAGCUGGCAGCCCUUUGUAUGCCGUCGGCAGAUCGAGAAUGACACAGUCGGGCCCUUUGACAUUGCGCAGCAGCUGCAAGGAUAUGCAAACCAGGAGAUUGUAAAGGCAAUUGUUGCCUCAUCCUCGUCGACGGUGGUGCAGGUCAAGCCACCUAAUAGCAACAAAGGUAAAGCUGCCACUACUCGCCUGGCCGCCGAGAACCAUGCUGGUUCUUCUAGUGCUGCCAUUAUCGGUAACAAAACCAUGGAGAAACAGAAGGCCCCUCCAUCUCCAUGUAGUGCAACUCCUUCAAGCUCUGUUGUUGGUGACAAGGCCAUGGAGAAGCAGAAGCCCCCUCCAUGCAGUGCAACUGCUUCCAGCUUUGUUUUCGUUGACAAAACCAUGGAGAAGCAGAAGCAGAAGCAGAAGCCCCCUUCAUGCAGCGCAACUCCUUCCAGCUCUGUUAUUGGUGACAAAACCAUGGAGAAGAAGAAGAAGCAGAAGCCACCUCCAUGCAGUGCAACUCCUUCAAGCACUACUGUUAUCGGUGACAAAACCAUGGAGAAGCAGAAGCCCCCUGCAUGCCGCGCAACUCCUUCCAGUUCCAGCGCUGUUAUGGGCGACAAAGCCAUGGAGAAGCAGAAGCAGAAGGAGAUGCCCCCUCCAUGCAGCGCAACACAACACAGUGUCACCAAUGGCCAGACCGUCGAAAGCAGUGUCGUUCCCCGCAGCGUGGUGAACUGUCAGACCACCGCGCAGAAUCAGCCGCCCCCGAGUGAUACUGGUAACGCAGCAGCCAGUGAUGCGUCAACCAUGGUGAACCCUGCUGAGAAGAUGCUCCAGCCCGGCAGCCGUCUUGAAGCCCUGAGCCAAGACAGCAGCGUGAGGGGCUGUUGGUUCAAAUGCGUGGUAGUCAAGAGGAACGAGCAAAAUAACACGAUCUGGGUGCGGUACCAAGACCUUCGAAAACCCGAGGGCAAAGGGCAGCUCAAGGAAUGGCUCAAAGUUGCAAGAACUGCGGAGCCUGACCGCCUGGGCAUACGCCUAGCCAAAAGGGCCAUGCUCCGCCCACAGCUCCCAUCACACUACAGGAAGAUCGAGUCUCCGGUGGAUGUCGGGGUCAUCGUCGACGCGCAGCUGAACGGCGGAUGGUGGGAGGGGAUCGUGCUGCAGCAGGAGACUGCUGGCCACGUCAAAGUUUAUCUCCAAGGGGAGGGGAGACUCGUGGAGUUCAAAGUGGACUCUCUGCGGAAGUCGUUUGAGUGGCGUGAGGAGCAGUGGAUGCCUCUGGAUGCAAGAACAGAUGUUGCAGCCAAGAUAACCCUUGACCUGAAGAAGAAGAAGAAGGCGGCCGCGGCCGCGCCAAGCCCAGCAGGACUGCUGCUGCAACCUCAGGAGGACGGAUCUGCAAGCUCUGUUCCUCCACGGAAGAGGAUCCUGGAACUGGAUCACUCUUUCGAGGAAGAAAGGCUGCAGGAUGGAAAGGGCAAGGGUCCUGCUGAUGAACCUGCCAAGACAGUUCCAGACAAGGGGGGUGCUGGAGAUGGCAUGUCCCGUGGCGGCGGCUCAGCUGGUGCCAAGCGCUGCCGGGUUGAUCCUGCAAACUCUGACGGCCUCAACUGCGCUGAAUGCAAGGGCAAGGCUGGGAAAUCUUCUGGCGUCAAGAAAAUGGGGUCUUCGGAGGGCAGCGGCAGCCAGGGAGGCGCCAGUGGCUCUGCCUCCAGUGGAGGCGCUGCGCCGGUGAAGCCAGCAGUGCCCAUGCAGGAGAUAUGCGUCACCAACGCAGAGGCUCCUGUCGUCGCCAUGGACGAAUCGGAGGUGAUCGAUCUCACCAUGUAUGACUGA
rnacentral:rRNA from 1 species